GAUGAACGCUGACAGAAUGCUUAACACAUGCAAGUCAACUGUGGCGGACGGGUGAGUAACGCGUAAAGAACUUGCAUCCCAGCUAGGGACAACAUUGGGAUACGAAUGCUAAUACCUGAUACUGUGAGAGAGCUUUGCGUCCGAUGAGCUAGUUGGAGAGGUAACGGCUCACGAAGGCGAUGAUGGGUAGCCGGGCGGAGAGGGUGAUCGGCCACAAGGGGACUGAGACACGGCCCUUGCUCCUACGGGAGGCAGCAGUGGGGAAUGUUGGAGAAGGGAGCAAAGUCUGAUCCAGCAAUUGUGUGUGCACGAGGAAGUUUUCGGAAUGUAAAGGGCUUUCAGUUGGGAAGCGGUACCAACAGAAGAAGUGACGGCUAAAUACGUGCCAGCAGCCGCGGUAAUAC
rnacentral:rRNA from 1 species